UACGUAGGGGGCAAGCGUUGUCCGGAAUCAUUGGGCGUAAAGCGCGCGUAGGCGGCCCGGUAAGUCCGUUGUGAAAGUCAAAGGCUCAACCUUUGAACGCCGAUGGAUACUGCCGGGCUAGAGUCCGGAAGAGGCGAGUGGAAUUCCUGGUGUAGCGGUGAAAUGCGCAGAUAUCAGGAGGAACACCGGUGGCGAAGGCGGAUCUCUGGGCCAUUACUGACGCUGAGGAGCGAAAGCGUGGGGAGCGAACAGG
rnacentral:rRNA from 1 species